ACGGAAGGCAGCAGUGGGGAAUAUUGCACAAUGGGGGAAACCCUGAUGCAGCGACGCCGCGUGAGUGAAGAAGUUAUUCGUAAUGUAAAGCUCUAUCAGCAGGGAAGAAAAUGACGGUACCUGACUAAGAAGCCCCGGCUAACUACGUGCCAGCAGCCGCGGUAAUACGUAGGGGGCAAGCGUUAUCCGGAUUUACUGGGUGUAAAGGGAGCGUAGACGGUCUGGCAAGUCUGAUGUGAAAGGCAGGGGCUCAACUCCUGGACUGCAUUGGAAACUGUCAGUCUCGAGUGUCGGAGAGGUAAGCGGAAUUCCUAGUGUAGCGGUGAAAUGCGCAGAUAUUAGGAGGAACACCAGUGGUGAAGGCGGCUUACUGGACGAUAACUGACGUUGAGGCUCGAAAGCGUGGGGAGCAAACAGGAUUAGAUACCCUGGUA
rnacentral:rRNA from 1 species